rnacentral:rRNA from 1 species
GAGUUUGAACCUGGCUCAGGAUGAACGCUGGCGGCGUGCUUAACACAUGCAAGUCGAACGAGAACCAUUGGAUCGAGGAUUCGUCCAAGUGAAGGUGGGGAAAGUGGCGGACGGGUGAGUAACGCGUGAGCAAUCUGCCUUGGAGUGGGGAAUAACGGCUGGAAACAGCCGCUAAUACCGCAUGAUACAGCUGGGAGGCAUCUCCCUGGCUGUCAAAGAUUUAUCGCUCUGAGAUGAGCUCGCGUCUGAUUAGCUAGUUGGCGGGGUAACGGCCCACCAAGGCGACGAUCAGUAGCCGGACUGAGAGGUUGGCCGGCCACAUUGGGACUGAGACACGGCCCAGACUCCUACGGGAGGCAGCAGUGGGGAAUAUUGGGCAAUGGGCGCAAGCCUGACCCAGCAACGCCGCGUGAAGGAAGAAGGCUUUCGGGUUGUAAACUUCUUUUGUCAGGGACGUAGCAAGUGACGGUACCUGACGAAUAAG